AACGAACGCUGGCGGCAGGCUUAACACAUGCAAGUCGAACGCAUCCUUCGGGGUGAGUGGCAGACGGGUGAGUAACGCGUGGGAACGUGCCCUUCAGUUCGGAAUAACCCAGGGAAACUUGGGCUAAUACCGGAUACGUGCGAGAGCAGAAAGAUUUAUCGCUGAAGGAUCGGCCCGCGUGUGAUUAGCUAGUUGGUGGGGUAAUGGCCCACCAAGGCGACUAUAAGUAGCUGGUCUGAGAGGAUGAUCAGCCACAUUGGGACUGAGACACGGCCCAAACUCCUACGGGAGGCAGCAGUGGGGAAUAUUGGACAAUGGGCGCAAGCCUGAUCCAGCCAUGCCGCGUGAGUGAUGACGGCCUUAGGGUUGUAAAGCUCUUUCGUCCGGGACGAUAAUGACGGUACCGGAAGAAGAAGCCCCGGCUAACUUCGUGCCAGCCGCCGCGGUAA
rnacentral:rRNA from 1 species